rnacentral:tRNA from 1 species
UCCGCCAUGGUGUAAUCGGGCAGCAUAGGGGACUUUGAAUCCUUUGGUGCAGGUUCAAAUCCUGCUGGCGGAG